CCCAUUCUAGGACUCCUUCAGCUAUAUCUUCCUCCCAGAGGACAGAGAUGUUCUUUACUUUCCACCCAAUUCUAUUAUCUGGCUCACACGAACAACCCUGCCCACACCAUAUGGGAAAUAAGGACUCUGCUGUCAUUCUAGAAGGGACAGGAAUGUAUAGUUCUAGGAAUGUGACAUCACAGCAGCAGCAGAGAUGACAGGAAGCAGAGGCUGUGCAUGUCUGGCAUAUGUCAAUCGACCUGAUAACUAGGCAGUCUGACAUCCUCUGGGACAAAGAAAUGAUCACAAGUCCUUACCACUAACUUACUUCCCCAUGAAGGCACUUUGCAGACAUCACCUUGUGGCACAGAGCUUCAGCUGCCCCCGAAUGCUGAAGGCCCCACCAAACAGAGUUGGGGUCUCGCUGUGUUGUCCAGGCUGGAUUCAAACUCCUGGGCUCAACCAACCCUCCUACCUCAGCCUCCUGAGCACACUGGCUCACUCUUUAUAAACAGAUAGCCAAGGAUUACCAGACAUCUGAGGGAAACCACCAACAUGAAAGUCUGAAACCAUGUAAAGACAAAAAAGAACCAGGAAGAAGCAGAGAAUACAAAUACCAAAGAAAAUGUCAGGAAAUGUCAACAAUAUGAGGUUGGCAUGACGAUUUCCAUCUCACAGACGAGAAGCAGAGGGGAAGUAGCCUGCCUCAGGCCACACGGUUGACAAGUGGCAGAGCCAGGAUUUGCGCCAGGCCACCCACCUCUACAGGACAAGUACCAAAGCCCUGCUCUGCACCUUCCCAUGAAUUGGAGCAGCGGUCCCACGGACCAAUACCAGUGCACGGCCUGUUAGGAUAGGAACUGGGCCGCACAGCAGGAGGAUAAGGAUGUUCCAGACCUUUCUGCUCAUCUUGAAAAAUGAUCAAACAAAAAACCCCUUGGAAAUGGAAUGAAAGACCCAGCUCGAAUCCUCUCCUCAAAAUGCCGCAUGGCCAACAUCUGGUUAUUACUUGAUAUUUCUGGCUAGAAAAUGUUUUAUUUAUUCAGAAGCAGUUUAUGGAAGUAGCAAACUACUGGAAAUUUUAAAAUAGCUUGCUUAUAUGAAACGGCCACAGCUGUGCUCCCACAUUCCACAGACACACGGCCCACAAAUGUGAUACAUUCGCACAGAAGCCCAGUGAGCAGCCACCGCACACACCCAGAUGGCUGAUGUGAUCAGAGGACACAGGCUCAGGAUGACCGCGAGGUUCUCUUUCCCUUUCACUGCUCUGAAUGCAGCAAAACUCCAGCCAGAACAGCAAAAGACGCCAAGGGAACAGCCUGCUCCUGCCAGGCCCUGCCCCACCUCCCCAUCCUCCUCUCCACGUGCCAACACUGACCUUCCAAACCAGACCUCCCAGUGCACUGCCCUGGGCACCCGGCCGCGAGAUCUGGGUAGGAAUCAAGGCAUCUCAGAGAUUUUCAACCCUCCCAAUUAUCUCAAAUUCUCUGACUUGGUUCAUCCCAUGUUUCGACUUUCUACCUCCAUCUGACCAAAGGAUAACUCCGCACUGCUGAAGUCAACACCUUUUGAAGGAGAGAGUGGGCAGAUGGGAGCAGAGGUGUUGGGAUUUUAAACCUAAUUUGAAAAGUCAGAUUCAUAUAGAUGGGCCUGUUUUGAAUACAUGGUCCUUAAAUGCUGUAAGGGUCUUUAAAAAAAUCUGCUUUCUAGAAUAUAUUUGGUCAGAGGUUUAUCUUACCAUGUUUCCCAGUUUAAGCUAGCAUCUGUCCUUUUUCUUUAGAAGAUUUAAAGAAAAAAAUAAAGAAAAAUAAUGAUGCUUAUUACUUUAUAGGGCUGCCCCUCUCCUAACAAUGCCACUGAGUUGACACAGAUCAUGGUGGAAGAGUGGGGGUGGAGGGUGCCAGCUCCUUAUUGUGACAGACACAGGCUGUCUGCCCAGCCAUCCUGGCCACACUGAUAGAACCUGGCCGCUGAGCCUUCUUACUAACCACGGUUGAACAGUACAUUGGGCCACAUUCAGGCACCCAGUACAAUUGGCAUCUCAGAUUGACCAGAUACCCUAUUUGCCCCAGGGCCGGAACACGUGCUCAAAACAAUCUCCCCAGAAAACUGAAGGAAAAAGAUAUCAUACACGAGACUGAAAAGUAACUCUGGCUCAGUGGUGUCACUGGGUUAAAUGACUCAAACCCCAGAUCCACCUCUCACGGCUAUUGAAAGAGCUUGGU